AGAGCCUUCUAUGUGCUAAGUCCUGGGCAGGGUGCUGAGUCGUCACAUGAGGCUGCAUUUGGCAGAAAAGACAACCAUGUGGCACUAACUACUCCAGUGACUGUGGCCUUCAGUGACAUGUGGCUGCUGGUGGACUGAACAAGAGCACACAGCACUGAACUGAGGAGAGACAUCCCAGCUUUGUUAAGCCCCAGCUCUGUCACUCGUAGUUAUCAAACUUGGACAAGCUUACUCACAGAAACGACAAGGUGGAAGGGCCC
ensembl:lncRNA